UUAAGUUAAUAAGGGCGCACGGUGGAUGCCUUGGCACUAGAAGCCGAAGAAGGACGUGACUAACGACGAAAUGCUUUGGGGAGCUGUAAGUAAGCGCUGAUCCAGAGAUGUCCGAAUGGGGGAACCCACUAGUUAAUGACUAGUAUCCAUAUCUGUUAAGGAUAUGAGAAGGAAGACGCAGUGAACUGAAACAUCUAAGUAGCUGCAGGAAGAGAAAGCAAAAGCGAUUGCCUUAGUAGCGGCGAGCGAAACGGCAGGAGGGCAAACCGAAGUGUUUACACUUCGGGGUUGUAGGACUGCGAUAUAGGAUUAAUCAUUAUAGAAGAAUUACCUGGGAAGGUAAGCCAAAGAGAGUAACAGCCUCGUAUUUAAAAUGAUAGAUUAACCUUAGCAGUAUCCUGAGUACGGCGAGACACGCGAAAUCUCGUCGGAAUCUGGGAGGACCAUCUCCCAACCCUAAAUACUCUCUAGUGACCGAUAGUGAACCAGUACCGUGAGGGAAAGGUGAAAAGCACCCCGGGAGGGGAGUGAAAUAGAACCUGAAACCGUGUGCCUACAACAAGUUCGAGCCCGUUAAUGGGUGAGAGCGUGCCUUUUGUAGAAUGAACCGGCGAGUUACGAUAUGAUGCGAGGUUAAGUUGAAGAGACGGAGCCGUAGGGAAACCGAGUCUUAAUAGGGCGCCAUAGUAUCAUGUUGUAGACCCGAAACCAUGUGACCUACCCAUGAGCAGGUUGAAGGUGAGGUAAAACUCACUGGAGGACCGAACCAGGGCACGUUGAAAAGUGCUUGGAUGACUUGUGGGUAGCGGAGAAAUUCCAAACGAACUUGGAGAUAGCUGGUUCUCUCCGAAAUAGCUUUAGGGCUAGCGUCGAUGUUAAGUCUCUUGGAGGUAGAGCACUGUUUGGGUGAGGGGUCCAUCCCGGAUUACCAAUCUCAGAUAAACUCCGAAUGCCAACGAGAUAUAAUCGGCAGUCAGACUGCGAGUGCUAAGAUCCGUAGUCGAAAGGGAAACAGCCCAGACCACCAGCUAAGGUCCCAAAAUAUAUGUUAAGUGGAAAAGGAUGUGGGGUUGCACAGACAACUAGGAUGUUAGCUUAGAAGCAGCUAUUCAUUCAAAGAGUGCGUAAUAGCUCACUAGUCGAGUGACCCUGCGCCGAAAAUGUACCGGGGCUAAAACAUAUUACCGAAGCUGUGGAUGACACAAAAGUGUCAUGGUAGGAGAGCGUUCUAUGUGUGAAGAAGGUGUACCGUGAGGAGCGCUGGAACGCAUAGAAGUGAGAAUGCCGGUAUGAGUAGCGCAAGACAGGUGAGAAUCCUGUCCACCGUAAGACUAAGGUUUCCAGGGGAAGGCUCGUCCGCCCUGGGUUAGUCGGGACCUAAGGAGAGACCGAAAGGUGUAUCCGAUGGACAACAGGUUGAUAUUCCUGUACUAGAGUAUAUAGUGAUGGAGGGACGCAGUAGGCUAACUAAACCAGACGAUUGGAAGUGUCUGGUCAAACAGUGAGGUGUGAUAUGAGUCAAAUGCUUAUAUCUUUAACAUUGAGCUGUGACGAGGAGCGAAGUUUAGUAGCGAAGUUAGUGAUGUCACACUGCCAAGAAAAGCUUCUAGCGAUACAUAUACUCUACCCGUACCGCAAACCGACACAGGUAGUCGAGGCGAGUAGCCUCAGGUGAGCGAGAGAACUCUCGUUAAGGAACUCGGCAAAAUGGCCCCGAAACUUCGGGAGAAGGGGCGCUGAUUUUAGAUCAGCCGCAGUGAAUAGGCCCAAGCAACUGUUUAUCAAAAACACAGCUCUCUGCUAAAUCGUAAGAUGAUGUAUAGGGGGUGACGCCUGCCCGGUGCUGGAAGGUUAAGAGGAGUGCUUAGCGUAAGCGAAGGUAUGAAUUGAAGCCCCAGUAAACGGCGGCCGUAACUAUAACGGUCCUAAGGUAGCGAAAUUCCUUGUCGGGUAAGUUCCGACCCGCACGAAAGGCGUAAUGAUUUGGGCACUGUCUCAACGAGAGACUCGGUGAAAUUUUAGUACCUGUGAAGAUGCAGGUUACCCGCGACAGGACGGAAAGACCCCAUGGAGCUUUACUGCAGUUUGAUAUUGAGUAUCUGUACCACAUGUACAGGAUAGGUAGGAGCCUAUGAUAACGGGACGCCAGUUUCGUUUGAGGCGUUGUUGGGAUACUACCCUUGUGUUAUGGCUACUCUAACCCAGAUAGGCAAUCCCUAUCGGAGACAGUGUCUGACGGGCAGUUUGACUGGGGCGGUCGCCUCCUAAAAGGUAACGGAGGCGCCCAAAGGUUCCCUCAGACUGGUUGGAAA
rnacentral:rRNA from 1 species